rnacentral:lncRNA from 1 species
UGAGCGAGAAUCUCUGACGGAUGACAGUUGUAAAGCAAAGUCUUGUUAGGAUGCAGUUACUUGCCAUAUCCCUAAUUUUUUCCUAGAUUGCCCCAGGGUGAGGUAUUCAAUCUAGAGGGAUAUAUAUUCAUUUUUUAUAUGUCUCUAACUUUUGCCUGGAUCGCCCUUUCGGGUUUUCAAUCCACUGAGACGCUCAUUUUUGCCUAAGC